rnacentral:lncRNA from 1 species
AAAAUAGUCGAAAGGACUAAUGAUAGAUAUUCUUUGCUUAUCAGGUACAGAACACUCUUUCUUCAGUGUAGAAAUGUACUUGCCAGAUGAUAUUUUUUUGUAAAGUGUUGACUGUAGCUCAGUUUUUUGGGAGAAAGAAGUGACUUUACAUUUUCAAUACUGUUCAGUUUGUAUUUGAGAAAAGCCUUGGUAGAACCUGUAAAAUGAAAGAGACCUUUUCCCUCUUCUCUCCUUUUUUCAAGGACUUUUUGAGUCCUUGAGCUUUAAAAUAAUACAGCGGGGUGAAUGUAUGGCUAUAAUUUGUCUAUGGAAGUAAAGUUUUUGCUUUUGAAUAUAGAAACAUACACAUUAGUACACAGCACUGUAUGGGUAAUUCAUAUGAUAUUAUGUGCAUAUAUUUAUAUUUUUGGCGUAAUAUGGUGUAAUUGAAAAGACUUGUGCAACAGAAGUCGACAGAUUAUUACAUGCAAGUAGACAGGAUUUACUUAGCAAAAAAUCUAAUCAGCAUUUACCUGACUUCAGCAUUUUCAAAAUCAGAUUCUAUGCAUAGCUAAAUUAUUCAAAUGUAUUCUGCUUUACAGGUUUCAAGGUCACAGUGAGAAGGUAGCUAUGCUUUUUCUUUUGUUACCAUGAUACCUUAUAGGAGAUAACUGGAAGACUGGUGUUUGGAGAGAGAAUAGCCGAAGAUGAAGCUCUGUGGGCAGUUCUGAUUACAGACAAAGCAAGAAAGGCAGUGUACUUCCAGCCCCUUAUGAUUCUAAAGAGCUCUGUUGAAUAACAGACUGCACCGUCUCCAUCAAAGAUCCAUGAAGUGCUCAGGCUGGACCUACACGUGGACAAGCUGCUGAACUGCAGAAAACAUUGCUGCCUUGUUACCAAGAAUGUGGUUGGCUUCACGUACCAUCUUUCUUGGAAGCCUAUUGUCCAACUGUGGGAAGAAGAAAGGAAUUUCUUGGGAGUUGCUCCCCAGGGAGAGAUGGAACUAAUCCACCUCCGCUGUUCUUGCAGAGUGUGCUGUUGUGAACAAAACAAGUUCUUGUUUAAACCAGAGACUAAAACAAGUUGCCAGAAGAAGUGUGACAAAGAACAUAUGUGUGUUAACAUUUUUCUUUGCUAGAAGAAAACACACAAGAUCUUUUUCAUUAGUGAAACAAAGUCAGAUUGCCAAGGUGAAAUAAUUCUGUGGGCAGUUCAGAAGCAGACAGCUACAGUUUAUGAAGAUCUUUGCCAACGUUAGAGACUAGAAUUGGAUAUCCAUGGCAGUCACUUUCAAUUCUGUCUCACAGUUGAGAAUAUUGCUUGAAAAAUAGGUAGAUAUUCCAGUCUCCCUCUCCCUCUUCCCUUUCCCACUUCAUUUUUAGUCAGUGUAUGUUUUAGUUACCUUAAUGUUUUGUAAAUGCCUCAAAAACAUAUUUUUUUUGAGUACUAAAUGUAUUACAAGAAAAUCAGCCAAAUUAUCCAGAAUGAAAAGUAAAGCUGAAAUUUAAAAUUCUUCACAUAGCCUUAAAAAUCUGCUCACUGAUUUUUUAUUGAGUAUGUUGCUAUAUUGGGGAAUUUGCCUGCCAAAAGGGAUGGUUAAUGUUCUUUGGUUCCAUUUUUUCAGUAAUAGUCUAUAAUUCUAAGAUUGUCUGCAAAUUAACCUUGCAGAUAUCUGAAUUGAAUACAGUCCAUAGUUUGAAGAAUAAAUGUGGUAGGAACCCUUCA